UACGGGGGGGGCAAGCGUUGUUCGGAAUUACUGGGCGUAAAGCGUGCGCAGGCGGCGCGUUAAGACAGGUGUGAAAGCCCCGAGCUUAACUUGGGAAUUGCGCUUGUGACUGGCGUGCUGGAGUGUGGCAGAGGGAGGUGGAAUUCCACGUGUAGCAGUGAAAUGCGUAGAGAUGUGGAGGAACACCGAUGGCGAAGGCGGCAUCCUGGACCGAUACUGACACUGAGGAGCGAAAGCCAGGGGAGCAAACGGG
rnacentral:rRNA from 1 species